GACGAACGCUGGCGGCGUGCUUAACACAUGCAAGUCGAACGGAAAGGCCCUGCUUGCUGGGUACUCGAGUGGCGAACGGGUGAGUAACACGUGGGUGAUCUGCCCUGCACUUCGGGAUAAGCCUGGGAAACUGGGUCUAAUACCGGAUAGGAGCCAUUUUUAGUGUGAUGGUUGGAAAGUUUUUUCGGUGUAGGAUGAGCUCGCGGCCUAUCAGCUUGUUGGUGGGGUAAUGGCCUACCAAGGCGGCGACGGGUAGCCGGCCUGAGAGGGUGGACGGCCACAUUGGGACUGAGGUAAGGCCCAGGCUCCGACGGGAGGAAGAAGUGGGGAAGAUUGCACAAGGGGCGCAAGCCUGAUGCAGCGAGGCCGCGUGGGGGAUGACGGCCUUCGGGUUGUAAACGCCUUUCGCUAGGGACGAAGCUUUUUGUGACGGUACCUAGAUAAGAAGCACCGGCUAACUACGUG
rnacentral:rRNA from 1 species